GAUCCGUUAGCUCAGUCGGCAGAGCAUCUGCCUUUUAAGCAGAGGGUCCGCGGUUCGAGCCCGCGACGGGUCACCA
rnacentral:tRNA from 1 species